AAAACAAAUUGUUGUUUUUAGUGACUUUAUAAUAGUUGAGCGUUGUAGUUAAAACAAUUGUAUUGUACUGCUGAUAUCUAUGUGUAGCAUAAUGAAGGCUCAUGGAACUUCCACAAACUCUAUAUUUUAUUAUCUUGUUUAUAUAAUUGUUGCGAAUCGGCUAUACAUGAGAUUUUGUAGUAUUUUUUUUAAAUUGCUUCAUUAUUGAAUAAU